UACGAAGGGGGCUAGCGUUGUUCGGAAUUACUGGGCGUAAAGCGCACGCAGGCGGCGCGUUAAGUCAGGGGUGAAAGGCCUGGGCUCAACCCAGGAACGGCCUUUGAUACUGGCGCGCUAGAGUCCGGAAGAGGGUAGUGGAAUUCCCAGUGUAGAGGUGAAAUUCGUAGAUAUUGGGAAGAACACCGGUGGCGAAGGCGGCUACCUGGUCCGGUACUGACGCUCAGGUGCGAAAGCGUGGGGAGCAAACAGG
rnacentral:rRNA from 1 species